GCGCUGGCGGCGUGCCUAACACAUGCAAGUCGAGCGAUUUACUUCGGUAAAGAGCGGCGGACGGGUGAGUAACGCGUGGGUAACCUGCCCUAUACACACGGAUAACAUACCGAAAGGUAUGCUAAUACGAGAUAACAUAAGUAAUUCGCAUGGAUUUCUUAUCAAAGCUUUUGCGGUAUAGGAUGGACCCGCGUCUGAUUAGCUAGUUGGUAAGGUAACGGCUUACCAAGGCGACGAUCAGUAGCCGACCUGAGAGGGUGAUCGGCCACAUUGGAACUGAGACACGGUCCAAACUCCUACGGGAGGCAGCAGUGGGGAAUAUUGCACAAUGGGCGAAAGCCUGAUGCAGCAACGCCGCGUGAGCGAUGAAGGCCUUCGGGUCGUAAAGCUCUGUCCUCAAGGAAGAUAAUGACGGUACUUGAGGAGGAAGCCCCGGCUAACUACGUGCCAGCAGCCGCGGUAAUACGUAGGGGGCUAGCGUUAUCCGGAAUUACUGGGCGUAAAGGGUGCGUAGGUGGUUUCUUAAGUCAGAGGUGAAAGGCUACGGCUCAACCGUAGUAAGCCUUUGAAACUGAGAAACUUGAGUGCAGGAGAGGAGAGUAGAAUUCCUAGUGUAGCGGUGAAAUGCGUAGAUAUUAGGAGGAAUACCAGUUGCGAAGGCGGCUCUCUGGACUGUAACUGACACUGAGGCACGAAAGCGUGGGGAGCAAACAGGAUUAGAUACCCUGGUAGUCCACGCCGUAAACGAUGAGUACUAGCUGUCGGAGGUUACCCCCUUCGGUGGCGCAGCUAACGCAUUAAGUACUCCGCCUGGGAAGUACGCUCGCAAGAGUGAAACUCAAAGGAAUCGACGGGGACCCGCACAAGUAGCGGAGCAUGUGGUUUAAUUCGAAGCAACGCGAAGAACCUUACCUAAGCUUGACAUCCUUCUGACCUCUCCCUAAUCGGAGAUUUCCCUUCGGGGACAGAAGUGACAGGUGGUGCAUGGUUGUCGUCAGCUCGUGUCGUGAGAUGUUGGGUUAAGUCCCGCAACGAGCGCAACCCUUGCCUUUAGUUGCCAGCAUUAAGUUGGGCACUCUAGAGGGACUGCCAGGGAUAACCUGGAGGAAGGUGGGGAUGACGUCAAAUCAUCAUGCCCCUUAUGCUUAGGGCUACACACGUGCUACAAUGGGUGGUACAGAGGGCAGCCAAGUCGUGAGGCGGAGCUAAUCCCUUAAAGCCAUUCUCAGUUCGGAUUGUAGGCUGAAACUCGCCUACAUGAAGCUGGAGUUACUAGUAAUCGCAGAUCAGAAUGCUGCGGUGAAUGCGUUCUCGGGUCUUGUACACACCGCCCGUCACACCACGGGAGUUGGGGGCGCCCGAAGCCACUUAGCUAACCCUUUGGGAAGCGAGUGUCGAAGGUGAAAUCAAUAACUGGGG
rnacentral:rRNA from 1 species